rnacentral:rRNA from 1 species
GCGUCGAGCGGCGGACGGGUGAGUAAUACUUAGGAAUCUACCUAGUAGUGGGGGGUAGCACGGGGAAAUUUUUUUUAAUACCGCAUACGACCUACGGGGGAAAGGGGGCAGUUUAUUGCUUUCGCUAUUAGAUGAGCCUAAGUCGGAUUAGCUAGAUGGUGGGGUAAAGGCCUACCAUGGCGACGAUCUGUAGCUGGUCUGAGAGGAUGAUCAGCCACACCGGGACUGAGACACGGCCCGGACUCCUACGGGAGUAUUGCAGCAGUGGGGAAUAUUGGACAAUGGGGGAAACCCUGAUCCAGCCCAUGCCGCGUGUGUGAAGAAGGCCUUUUGGUUGUAAAGCACUUUAAGCAGUGAAGAAGACUCUUCGGUUAAUACCCGGAGACGAUGACAUUAGCUGCAGAAUAAGCACCGGCUAACUCUGUGCCAGCAGCCGCGGUAAUACAGAGGGUGCAAGCGUUAAUCGGAAUUACUGGGCGUAAAGCGAGCGUAGGUGGCUUGAUAAGUCAGAUGUGAAAUCCCCGGGCUUAACCUGGGAACUGCAUCUGAAACUGUUAGGCUAGAGUAGGUGAGAGGGAAGUAGAAUUUCAGGUGUAGCGGUGAAAUGCGUAGAGAUCUGAAGGAAUACCGAUGGCGAAGGCAGCUUCCUGGCAUCAUACUGACACUGAGGCUCGAAAGCGUGGGUAGCAAACAGGAUUAGAUACCCUGGUAGUCCACGCCGUAAACGAUGUCUACUAGUCGUUGGGUCCCUUGAGGACUUAGUGACGCAGCUAACGCAAUAAGUAGACCGCCUGGGGAGUACGGCCGCAAGGUUAAAACUCAAAUGAAUUGACGGGGGCCCGCACAAGCGGUGGAGCAUGUGGUUUAAUUCGAUGCAACGCGAAGAACCUUACCUGGUCUUGACAUAUCUAGAAUCCUGCAGAGAUGCGGGAGUGCCUUUGGGAAUUAGAAUACAGGUGCUCCAUGGCUGUCGUCAGCUCGUGUCGUGAGAUGUUGGGUUAAGUCCCGCAACGAGCGCAACCUUUGUCCUUAGUUACCAGCGGGUUAAGCCGGGAACUCUAAGGAUAUUGCCUGUGACAAACUGGAGGAAGGCGGGGACGACGUCACGUCAUCCUGGCCCUUACGACCAGGGCUACACACGUGUUACAAUGGUAGGUACAGAGGGCAGCUACACAGCGAUGUGAUGCGAAUCUCAAAAAGCCCAUCGUAGUCCAGAUUGGAGUCUGCAACUCGACUCC